rnacentral:lncRNA from 1 species
UUGUCUACAAACGAGCUUCUUUUCACCAGGGCAGCCUGGGCGUGGAGAGGUGAAUGCAGCUGCAGUGGCCGGUGGAGAGGGAGAGGGCGGUUACCAGGGCCACAAAGACCCCUGCUAGGCAUUGCGUCCUAACAGGGGUCUUUGUGGGCACUCUGCUUGCCCAAGACACUGGGGAGAAGUGGAAGUUGAGAGCAGGGCAGCGCAUGGGGAGUGAGGUGAGAAAAUACGCAGGAAACACUUAUUUCUCUAUGAAAAUAUGAGUCUGAAGAAAGUCAAGAGACUCUACAAACAUUUCUGCAGCCCUCUAUUGGAGAUUUGCAAAGGUCUGCAUGUGCACCCCUUUGG